rnacentral:rRNA from 1 species
UGGGGAAUAUUGGGCAAUGGGCGAAAGCCUGACCCAGCGGCGCCGCGUGAGGGAAGAAGGUCUUCGGAUUGUAAACCUUAGUUAUCGGGGAAGAAGAAAGUGACGGUACCCGAAGAGAAAGCCACGGCUAACUACGUGCCAGCAGCCGCGGUAAUACGUAGGUGGCAAGCGUUGUCCGGAUUUACUGGGUGUAAAGGGCGUGUAGGCGGAGCGGCAAGUCAGAUGUGAAAUCCCGGGGCUUAACCCCGGAACUGCAUUUGAAACUGUCGCCCUUGAGUAUCGGAGAGGCAGGCGGAAUUCCUAGUGUAGCGGUGAAAUGCGUAGAUAUUAGGAGGAACACCAGUGGCGAAGGCGGCCUGCUGGACAGUAACUGACGCUGAGGCGCGAAAGCGUGGGAGCAAACAGGAUUAGAUACCCUGGUAGU